GACGAACGCUGGCGGCGUGCUUAACACAUGCAAGUCGAACGGAAAGGCCUUUUCGGAGGUACUCGAGUGGCGAACGGGUGAGUAACACGUGGGUGAUCUGCCCUGCACUCUGGGAUAAGCCUGGGAAACUGGGUCUAAUACCGGAUAGGACCGCACUUUAGUGUGUGUGGUGGAAAGUUUUUUCGGUGUAGGAUGAGCCCGCGGCCUAUCAGCUUGUUGGUGGGGUAAUGGCCUACCAAGGCGGCGACGGGUAGCCGGACUGAGAGGUUGGUCGGCCACAUUGGGCCUGAGAUACGGCCCAGACUCCUACGGGAGGCAGCAGUGGGGAAUAUUGCACAAUGGGCGCAAGCCUGAUGCAGCGACGCCGCGUGGGGGAUGACGGCCUUCGGGUUGUAAACUCCUUUCGCCAGGGACGAAGCGUUUUGUGACGGUACCUGGAGAAGAAGCACCGGCUAACUACGUG
rnacentral:rRNA from 1 species